GUAGCGUGCGCGUGUUUUUUCCGUCUCAUAGAGUUCAUGUGUAUUAUUAUUACCUUGAUUGCUUCAUAUCGUAUCGCUAUUUCGUUGAACACGUGUGAGUGGCCGUAUAUAAUAACCUUUCGGUUUUCAAGAAAUAUUUUAUUAUACGAAAUAAGCUGCAACAAGAAUAUUACAGCGCCCGAGACACCGACAGGUUUCAAUCCACGUGUCAUUCUAUUCCGACGAACGAAGCAAAGCACAACCGUCGAAGCGAUCAACGAUGAAACAGGUCCAAUCGAAGUAACGAACGCCGAUCUCGACGCGGCACCAAAAACCGUCGCCGCACACAUCCUCCCGACGACGAUGGCCCCCCAAAGAGAAACGGUCUGGCCCAUUACCGAAAGAAAGUUGUACGAAGGCAGCUCAAAGGAGACGAGAAAACCGAAAACCGCAGGCACGACCCACCGCCGCGCAAAAUUGCGAUAGAUCGUUUCGAAGACGUCUCAUUGCCUCGCUAUCGGGAACGUAGCCGCCUGCCUGCCUUGCCUACCUGCUUUGCAAGCCGUGCCAGCCGUGCCAGCCCUGGCCUGGCCAGGCUCGCAAGUCUGCAAGCUUGCUCUUCUCCCUGCUUCGACCUGCCUGCCUGCCUGCCUGCCUCGCCUUACCUCGCCUUCUGCUAUUCUUUUCAUGAACUAUUCCGCUCGUAUGUCUGCCCCUAGCCUUUAUCUGACCGGUCGAAGUCUCGCGCCCGCUAAUCGCGAGAGGCGGGCCGAGAAGACGAGGAGCAGAGCCGAGCGGAGCGGAGCCGAGCGGAUCGGAGCGGAGCGGUGAAGAGAAUCAAGGGUGAGGAUGCGCCCGCGACCGCAGCUACUCCUUUCAAUGAACGCUGCGGGCCUCCCGUUUGCGGUUCCGUUUUCAAUGAGGGCGCCCGUAAAAACUUUUAAGUACUCCUUCCACGUUGCCGGCAGGAAAAGAAGGAAUCGUGCACGGACUUCGCCCGGCAAGACGGUAGGCAGUUAGCAGACUCAAAGGGAUAAGCCCGAUCCCGGUGGCGGGAGGGAGCUGAAACGGAAACUGGCUUUGAGUUCUUACUGACUGCUUUUCGCUGGUUUCGGCUCCGGCAAAAGCACCCGUCCGUGUAGUUUAAUUAAAUCGUUGAGACUAGAGCCCACCGCGUCAUGCAUUUCGUAGACGACCCUGUUCCACUGGACCGGGCAACUCUUUGGGCGCGAAUUAUUUCGCGCCGGAAUUCAAUGCCGGCGUCCUACUCGCAAAUAAAUCCCCGUGCCAAUGGACCCGCGCCACCGAAUUUGUUCACUUUGACUUUUAAACGGAUAUUUUUUUUUUAACGAACGACCAUUCACGCUCCUCCACGAACAAUGCAUCCUUCCUGUACCUUCAGCUUCGCGGUCUUGAAAUUUCUCAGGACCGGGUUCUGAAGAUGGGUUGUUUCUACGAGAUUGCAUCGGUCGAUUAUGCGAAAGUCUAUCGAUUCGCUGUUGGAUGCCGCGCGAGAAACUCUGGAUGCAUUUUUCUCGUAAAUGCAUCCCGGAUUUUUGUGCGAAUACAUCUUUCAGUUUACUCAUCUUUAUUUACUCGCUUUGAGCGAGAUUGGUUUAUUGCAAACGUUUAUUACGGAGCACUGGUAACAGCUGCUUUAUAUUAAUUUAUAAAAGUAACAACAUUGUAAUAAUAUGA